AUAUCUGGUUGAUAGAUAAGAUUGUCUAGCUGUCACGACGAAACAAUUAUUGAUUAAUAUUUAAAAGAUAGUUAUUUAAGAAAUUAUUUGUGAUUUUGGAUUCGACACUGGAAUUAAUAACAUUAAAUGUCGUUUCUUUUAUUACAGAGAAACUCAAUUGUGUUUUAAUUGAUUGUGUCGUCUAAAUCACAAGAAAAUUUUAUCUUACAAAACGACAUUUCUUGUCAAAAAA
rnacentral:misc_RNA from 1 species